GCAUAUCAAUAAGCGGAGGAAAAGAAACUAACAAGGAUUCCCCUAGUAACGGCGAGUGAAGAGGGAAGAGCCCAAGAUUGAAAGCUGGCGUCUUCGACGUCCGCAUUGUAAUCUCAAGAAGUGUUUUCCGCUACGGACCAAGCCUAAGUCUCCUGGAAAGGAGCAUCAUAGAGGGUGAUAAUCCCGUACAUGGCUUGGAGCGCCCGCAGCUUUGUGAUACGCUUUCUAAGAGUCGAGUUGUUUGGGAAUGCAGCUCAAAAUGGGUGGUAAAUGCCAUCUAAGGCUAAAUAUUGGGGAGAGACCGAUAGCGAACAAGUACAGUGAUGGAAAGAUGAAAAGAACUUUGAAAAGAGAGUUAAACAGUACGUGAAAUUGCCAAAAGGGAAGGGUAGGAGGUCAGAGAUGCUUUUGGGGAUUCAGCCUUGCUUUUGCAUGGUGUUUUUCCCCUCGGGCAGGCCAACGUCGGUUUUGGGCACUGGAGAAGGGUGGAAGGAAUGUGGCAUCCCUCGGGAUGUGUUAUAGCCUUCUACUGGAUACAGCGACCGAGACCGAGGACAGCAGCGUACUCGCAAGAGCGGGCCUUCGGGCACCUUUACGCUUAGGGCGUUGGCAUAAUGGCCCUCUACCACCCGUCUUGAAACACGGACC
rnacentral:rRNA from 1 species